UUAUUUAUUUUUACGCUGGAGUACCUUAAAAUGCCACUGGGCCGAGGUAGCGUCCGUGACAUGCCAACACGACAGCAUUUCCUCUGGUGUACAGUGCUGUCUAUGCCUGCGCCCGCUGUGACGCUGGCUGUAUUCGCAUUAGUGUUGGCACAGUACUUGGUAAAAGCGGAAGGGCCACAGUCGGGGCUCUCAGCACAGCACCUGCUUCUAAAACUGCAGACACACUAAAAUUAGCAUCAACCACCUGCCACAAAAGCCAGUUUCAUCCAGUUAAACAGAAGAGCACAUCAGAAGAGUGAUUUACAUGACAGACAAACCGGCAAAAUAAUAAGACUGACCCUUGUUCAGGACCCUCCCCCUCUUUGCACGGCCCGGUCUUUGCUAAAGUCAUGUGACAGCUUGUGCAGAGGUCCCACAGCACCCGCUCACUCUCCUGCAGUGAACACCAGUCUGCAUAAGGACAAACAAUGAAAUUAUAAAAACAGUAAUAUUGUAAAAUAUUAUUAUAAUUUAAAAUAAGCAUUUUCUAUCCUAAUACAUUUCUGUGAUGCAAAGCUAAAUUUUGAGCAUCACAACUCCAGUCUUUCUGAAGUGUCAUUUCAGAAAUCAUUCUAAUGUGUUGAUUUGCUGCUGAAGAAACAUUCAUUAUUAUCAAUGUUGAAACCACUUGUACUGCUUCGCAUUUUGUGGAAAAUGUGAUAUUAAUGUAGGAUUGUUUGAUGAAUAGAAAGUUCAAAAACAUCAUUCUAGAUUAGUUUUUUUGUAACAAUGUAAAAGUCUUUACUGUCACUUUUGAUCAAUUUAAAACUGGACUACAUAUGAUUAUUUUAGUAGUCAAUGGCAUUACAUUGUUCUGUCCAAUGAGGUUGAGGAAAGCAUCCCCAGCAGCACAGCUUCUCUCAUCGGUGGUCAGUCGUUCUUCUAGGGUGUUACGGAACAGCAGGUGGCGCUGUAGCAUCUGAUCAAUGUGCUUUACAAACGCCACACUGUCUCACAAACACACAAAUACACUUGUUAUAGUGCCUGGUACAGUCAGAAAUAAAGAGAUUACAUGAAACACACAGAUAAUGAUUAUAGUUCUCUACUUUUGCUCAGCAGAUUUGUAUUUCUCGUAGAGCUGAUUCAAACUAGACACAUAAUCGCGUUCAGACUGCAACAGCAUCUCCACCACACCCCGCCUCCUGCCUGACAGAGAAACAGAGACAUGAGGAUCCACGUGUGAAUGCUGAGCAGUUCAAAGGCUUGGGGAACAGAUUAUUUACCCCGCCGUAGGCAGCUGUGUGUUACAUGACAGGAUAGAGAAUCUGCACCUGAAACAGUAAACAAAACUCACUGUAAUGUGAUUAGACUGUUUAAGCAUUUUUUAAUAUCAUUUGCAUCGCCUUAAUUAGUUUUUGCCACAUGUUAUAUUACUUAACAUUUUAUUUCAAUAUAUUAAAGCUACACCAUGUAACUUUUGGCCUUCUAUAGCGUCUGUAGCCUAAAAAUACAAGUAACUUUCGGAGAAACACUGUUUUAGUAAUUCUGCAUGUUGUGCUUGGGCACUGCUGUUUUGUGAGGAUGAAUCUGAUGGCUUGAGGUACAAAAGUUUGGCAAUUUUUGGAGAUUACUAAGUAGGGUGACCAUAAGUCCUGGCUGAGAUUUCUAAAUAGCCUAAAAUGUCUGGGUUUUUGCUUUAUUUUGCUAUUGACAUGCUAUCUGCAUUCUCCAAUAUAUGUAUAUGCAUAUUUGCAUUGCUUUAACCGCUUUCUGUAGGGCUGAUUAUGUACAAUGCCUACACAAUAUUGGUCAGAAUACUUUUCAGUCAUUAUCUUCAGCAAAUAUGAAAACAAUAGCAAAAACAUGGAAACACGCACAGACAAAUGAUGAAAGUAUGCAUUUAACCAGGAAAUUAAUUCCAACCACUCUAAAAUAUAAACAGUUAUUAUAGUCUUACCAUAGUGAUUUAAGGACAAAACUUUGAGUAGAAAAGGUUACAUAGUGUUGCUUUAACAAAUAUUUAAAAAUAUGUAUUUUAGGGUAUGUUUACAAAACAAUGAUUGUACUAAAAACAGAAAAGUUUUUCCUUUGCAUUUUUGAAAAGUUACACAUACAGAUGACAACAUUGUCAAAACGAUCCCCGUUUUCACAGAUCAGUGAAAACGACUAAAAAUGCUGUAUUAGGCACGCCAGGCCAGUAGUUGGCAAUGUCCCCUUUUAAAGAAACACUAUGCGCUAUGCACAAACAUAUACAUUCCAGUAGACUGAACAUGUAAUAUGCAUGCACAUGACUUCAUCCUUGUGUUUUUGUAGUCUGUAUUAUAUAAAAACUUUCACUUUGAAACCCUUACCCUUUUAAAAACCCUUUUUUCUUUUUACACCCCAAAAAAGAAAAGCUCACCUGAAUUCUGUCUGGCCCACUGCCACACCUGUAAUCCCUGCAGGUAACAGUGUAUGAGGAAAUCUCCACCCACAGAUGAAAGGGGAGGAGCCUCUGCAGCACCAUUACUCUGUCCGCUACUGUCGUCCACUCCAUUACUGCAUUCACACAUACACACAUCAACACUAUAGCGCAGUUUCAGUCAAACUUUAAAUGUAAAUGUGUGCAUGUCAGUGUGCGUGUGUGUGUGUGUUUACUUCUCUCUUCCUGGAUUCUCUGGUGGCGUUCUCUCUUGUGCCUCACAGAGUUGACGAAACUGACAACGUACCUCCUCCAGCUCCUCCU
ensembl:lncRNA